CUACGGGCUGCUCCAGUGGGGAAUAUUGCACAAUGGGCGCAAGCCUGAUGCAGCCAUGCCGCGUGUAUGAAGAAGGCCUUCGGGUUGUAAAGUACUUUCAGCGGGGAGGAAGGGAGUAAAGUUAAUACCUUUGCUCAUUGACGUUACCCGCAGAAGAAGCACCGGCUAACUCCGUGCCAGCAGCCGCGGUAAUACGGAGGGUGCAAGCGUUAAUCAGAAUUACUGGGCGUAAAGCGCACGCAGGCGGUGUGUUAAGUCAGAUGUGAAAUCCCCGGGCUCAACCUGGGAACUGCAUCUGAUACUGGCAAGCUUGAGUCUCGUAGAGGGGGGUAGAAUUCCAGGUGUAGCGGUGAAAUGCGUAGAGAUCUGGAGGAAUACCGGUGGCGAAGGCGGCCCCCUGGACGAAGACUGACGCUCAGGUGCGAAAGCGUGGGGAGCAAACAGGAUUAGAUACCCGUGUAGUC
rnacentral:rRNA from 1 species